rnacentral:rRNA from 1 species
UACGUAGGGUGCAAGCGUUGUCCGGAAUUAUUGGGCGUAAAGAGCUCGUAGGCGGUUUGUCGCGUCUGCUGUGAAAACCGAGGCUCAACCUCGGGCCUGCAGUGGGUACGGGCAGACGUAGAGUGCGGUAGGGAGAUUGGAAUUCCUGGUGUAGCGGUGGAAUGCGCAGAUAUCAGGAGGAACACCAAUGGCGAAGGCAGAUCUCUGGGCCGUAACUGACGCUGAGGAGCGAAAGCAUGGGGAGCGAACAGG